rnacentral:rRNA from 1 species
GAGUUUGAUCGUGGCUCAGGACGAACGCUGGCGGCGUGCUUAACACAUGCAAGUCGAGCGAGGCCCUUCCUUCGGGAAGGUGCCCUAGCGGCGAACGGGUGAGUAACACGUGGGCAACCUGCCCCUAGCACUGGGAUAACUCCGGGAAACCGGGGCUAAUACCGGAUAUGACCUUCGAGGGCAUCCUCGAUGGUGUAAAGGAUUCUGGCUAGGGAUGGGCCCGCGGCCUAUCAGCUUGUUGGUGGGGUAACGGCCUACCAAGGCGACGACGGGUAGCCGGCCUGAGAGGGUGACCGGCCACACUGGGACUGAGACACGGCCCAGACUCCUACGGGAGGCAGCAGUGGGGAAUCUUGCACAAUGGGCGAAAGCCUGAUGCAGCGACGCCGCGUGAGGGAUGACUGCCUUCGGGUUGUAAACCUCUUUCAGCAGGGACGAAGCGAAAGUGACGGUACCUGCAGAAGAAGCACCGGCCAACUACGUGCCAGCCGCCGCUGUAAC